GUGGUGAAAAUUCCUGGAGGGCUUCUCUCUUCCCUGGAGACGUAAAACCAGAAGGAUUCAGAAGGAUCUGCCAAAGGAAAUCUGGACCCCAUAAACGAUCAGUACUGCCAUCUGCAACAUGAGGGAGGCCUCAGAAACAGGAACCACACGGCAAGUCACCAAACCUCUAACCCAAUCUUGGAACCUACCAAUCUUGGAACCUGCAGUGGGUCACAGAAGGGAAACCAGCCAGACGUCAGCAUGCUGCUGAGACCUCGGUCAAUGAGUCACACCUGGGCUCUUGUGAAUUACAGAAUCAAUGUUGGAAGCCCAGGAAGCCAACUAAUCAGCCUGUUAACUAUAGCUUCACUGCUGAGCCAUCUGUUCUAGACCACGUUGCUGCCUCUGCCCACCACACACUUCCCUGGAGCUGGACCUGAUCAGCCAGAAGAAGCAUCUGAAAAGGAGCAUCUCAAUUUCAGCACAGUCGACCUUAACAAAAUAACUUCAGGAAGUGCACCAGCUUGGGAACCAGGACUUCGGGGUUCCCCUGCUUCUGUCAUCAGCAGCUGCACAGGCUUAUCUGAGACUUUCUCUCUCU
rnacentral:lncRNA from 10 species